GUUAAUUGUCACAAGCGAUGUAAAAAGAAUAUAGCUAACACAUGUGGUAUUAAUACACGAGAAAUGUCUGUACGUUUAAAGGACCUCGGCAUUAUAAGUGACAUUAAUUCUCGGAAAAAGGUUAGUGUUAUUUUAUUACUCAUGGAUAUUGGUUUCUUUUUUCAGUAUGUAAAAUUAAUGUUCACAAACGAUGUCAAAAGAAUGUAGCAAACAAUUGUGGUAUAAAUACACGAGAAAUGGCAGAGAUAUUGUCCGAGCUAGGCAUUACUACUGAUAAACAUGGCACUAAGAAAAAGGUUAGUUUGUGUGUUGUUCUAAAACACUUUUUGGUUCUUUUUCUCCAGUGUAUUUAAUGUCAUGUAAUUUCCAAUCUAUUCUGUCUUUUCCUAAUUACACUUCAGUCUUCUUUUUAUUUUCUUUACAUAUUUUUGUAAUCCUCACAUUUUAAUGUUUUUUUUUAUUUUUUUGGUAAUUGUACACUUGUUUUAUGUAUAUACAAUUAAUUUUAAUAUCGUGUGUUCAGUGAUGGAUAGCAAAUGUUGUAAAAGUAUCAAUUAUUUUCUUUUAUUUGUUUAUUUUGAAAAUGUUAAUUAAUGAAUAGAUACCUUGCUUUACUCUGAGCAAAGAAAUAUGAUAAGAAAAAAGAAAGGGGUUUUAUUUGGUUAAUGUAAAAGAGAUAGAAACACAACAUUUAUCUUUUUUGUAAGCUAAGGAUAAUGGUUACUUGCCUGUCCUUGGUCAAUUUCAGGUCAGAGUUUUACAAUUUCAUAAUUGACUGUUAAGUGGGAAAAAAACAAGUUUACAAAACAAGGCUUUAAAUAAGAUGAAUAUUUAUAUAGAACCAGGUUAUAUUAAAAACAGUAAAAGAACUCACCUCAAGUAUGGCAGUAAAGGUAAAUUCUAACUCAUAUUAUCUUUGCUAAAAAUAGCUUUCAGCUUUUCUUAAAAUAGCUAAAUUUACCAUGGAUUGAGAUCAACAAUUGUUUUGAAGCAACUGAAAUUGGC
rnacentral:lncRNA from 1 species